GUGCUCGCUGUGGCAGCACAUAUACUAAAAUAGGAACGAUACAGAGAAGAUUAGCAUGGCCCCUGCACAAGGAUGACACGCAAAUUUGUGAAGCAAACCCAAACCAA